GUUUCCCGUCGAUUACUAAUGCACGGUGGUCAUAAGUCACAUUCGCCGCCGUCGCCGCCACCACAAUCACAAGAAUUAGUAAUAAAAUCAUCUCCAUCUUCCUUACUUUAACCAUUUUCGCUGCAAUUUCCAUAAUCUAAUCUGAUUGAGAGAUCGAUAUGAUCUAUUUAUUAAGAAUAGGCUUGUAGAAACAGUAAAGCAUCCUUUUGCUUCAGUUUCUGAUUCACCUGUUGCUUCACCGUUUUGUGUUACUGCAUUUUAUCACACCUACACAGAUUUUGCAAAUGGAUUGCUUUCGCUUUCUCUUUCGCUUUUGCUAUGAUUUUGUUGAGAAAUGUAUUGCUUUAGUGGUUGGAUUUGGAUUUGAUUACCGCUUUUUAUUUUGGUCAGGCGUAUACGCAUUGCAAUUGCAUCAUCGUCGUCGUCUUCUUGGUCUCGGAUUUAAGAAGAAUGGCGGGGGAGAAGAAGAUUAAGAGAAAGGAUUAGUGUUAAUCAGUUUGAUUAAGUUUUUGUAGAGUGAUGAAGACGCGGGUAUAGUAGUAGCCGAGAGAAGAAGCAAGUUAAUAAAGGAGAGGAGAAGAAGGUGGGUGGAGUUAUCAAGUGUUUCUCAGAGUUAUUUGUUACGGUGGACCUAAUGAUUUUAUUGGUACUUUGGUAGGACAGAAUGAGACACGUGGUGGUUUUAAUGGUAGAGAAAGCUACGUAUAUUGAUGAGACGGUGACAAUGGAUUGGUGGUGGUAACUACGACUUACGAGCUUUGAUUUUGAUUGUAAUUUUGGAGUUAUCGGUCUUGUGGUUUAGCCACAUUCUAAUUUCGAACUCAAAAUAGGCUAAUGUGACUUGAGUACUUGACUAUAUCGACCACAGAACCACUCAACUACGUUGUAAUUUUAAAAGAAAAAUCUCUACAUGAUUUUUCUACAGUACUUCAUGAUUUUAUCACAUCUCA
rnacentral:lncRNA from 1 species